AUUAUGGAGCUUUUUAUUAGUUUGACAAUGAAUUCCGAUUCACUUUUCUAAAUUUGAUAUCUCUUUCUUCUGAAGUCAAAUUCCACAAUCUCGGAGCUAAUUUAAUGAAGAAAAAAAAAAGGAAAUAAGCUGCAUUGGUACCAAAUUGACAAUUAGCAGUACAUAAACUGGCCUGGAACAGUUUGUGUUCUAGCAGCUACUUUAUGAAAAGUUUCAGUGUUUACCAUGCAGAACUGACCAUUGGAGUAACAUUCUCAGUGGAUGGUUUUUUUUUCUCUUUUAUGCUUGCCAUGUUCAUAAUGAUGUGACCUUGACCAUCAAUUAUUGACCCCAGGACAGGGUCAUUAAAUACCUGAGGUCAGGAGCAACUUGUGCCAAACCUGAAAACAUCAGGCUCCAGGAUCAUUAAGCAAUUUUAGACUUAAGUCAAAAUUUGUACACUGUCUUAUUGUCUUUGAUUGAAAACAUAACUGGAUGGGGCACUUGCCCAUAAUCUUAAUAGCUAUGGGCAAGUUUGUGGCAUUUUUUACACACAAAUAGCCCCAUCUUUCUUGCCAUUUCUAGUCAAUUAUAUGUUGUAUAUGCUUUCAUAUCCAUUAUUUUGUGAUAUAUGCCAAAGAAGACAAGGGUGAUUUGUUAUUUUUUUAUUGGUAGCAAAUGCUGUUUAAUUUUCAUCUAGCAAGUGUGACCAUUGUAUAAUAAUAUUUUUCAAUACUUUUGGCAUUUUUUAAUAAAUGCUUUUUUUUCAACAC
rnacentral:sRNA from 1 species